rnacentral:rRNA from 1 species
GAGUUUGAUCCUGGCUCAGGAUGAACGCUGGCGGCGUGCUUAACACAUGCAAGUCGAACGGAGUACCCCUGAAGGAGUUUUCGGACAACUGAUGGGACUACUUAGUGGCGGACGGGUGAGUAACGCGUGAGUAACCUGCCUUGGAGUGGGGAAUAACAGCUGGAAACAGCUGCUAAUACCGCAUAAUAUGUCUGUGUCGCAUGGCACUGGACAUCAAAGAUUUAUCGCUCUGAGAUGGACUCGCGUCUGAUUAGCUAGUUGGCGGGGUAACGGCCCACCAAGGCGACGAUCAGUAGCCGGACUGAGAGGUUGGCCGGCCACAUUGGGACUGAGACACGGCCCAGACUCCUACGGGAGGCAGCAGUGGGGAAUAUUGGGCAAUGGGCGCAAGCCUGACCCAGCAACGCCGCGUGAAGGAAGAAGGCUUUCGGGUUGUAAACUUCUUUUCUCAGGGACGAAGCAAGUGACGGUACCUGAGGAAUAAGCCACGGCUAACUACGUGCCAGCAGCCGCGGUA